CCGGCGCACGGGUGCGUAACGCGUAUACAAUCUACCUUUUACAGAGGGAUAGCCCAGAGAAAUUUGGAUUAAUACCUCAUAGUAUUAUAAAGUGGCAUCAUUUAAUAAUUAAAACUUCGGUGGUAAAAGAUGAGUAUGCGUUCUAUUAGCUAGAUGGUAAGGUAACGGCUUACCAUGGCAACGAUAGAUAGGGGUCCUGAGAGGGAGAUCCCCCCACACUGGUACUGAGACACGGACCAG
rnacentral:rRNA from 1 species